AGCGAACCCGGAGAACUGAACCAUCUAAGUACCCGGAGGAAAAGAAAUCAACCGAGAUUCCGCAAGUAGUGGCGAGCGAACGCGGAGGAGCCUGUACGUAAUAACUGUCGAGAUAGAAGAACAAGCUGGGAAGCUUGACCAUAGUGGGUGAUAGUCCCGUAUUCGAAAUCUCAGCAGUGGUACUAAGCGUACGAAAAGUAGGGCGGGACACGUGAAAUCCUGUCUGAAUAUGGGGGGACCAUCCUCCAAGGCUAAAUACUCAUCAUCGACCGAUAGUGAACCAGUACCGUGAGGGAAAGGUGAA
rnacentral:rRNA from 1 species